rnacentral:rRNA from 1 species
UACGUAGGUUGCGAGCGUUGUCCGGAAUCACUGGGCGUAAAGGGUCUGCAGGUGGUCUGUUAAGUCUCCUGUGAAAUCUCCGGGCUUAACCCGGAACGGUCGGGGGAUACUGGCAGACUUGAGGCCGUUAGAGGGAAGCGGAAUUCCCGGUGUAGUGGUGAAAUGCGUAGAUAUCGGGAGGAACGCCAGUGGCGAAAGCGGCUUCCUGGGGCGGUCCUGACACUCAUAGACGAAAGCGUGGGGAGCAAACCGG